rnacentral:rRNA from 1 species
UUCCGGUUGAUCCUGCCGGAGGCUACCGCUAUUGGAGUUCGAUUAAGCCAUGCGAGUCGCGAGAAAUUAGAUUCUCGGCGUACCGCUCAGUAACACGUGGGUAACCUGCCCUAUGCUGGAUAAUAACCUCGGGAAACUGAGAAUAAUGAUCCAUAGUUCACUACGCCUGGAACGGUGAGUGGAUGAAAGCCCCGGCGGCAUAGGAUGGGCCUGCGGCGUAUCAGGUUGUAGGGGGUGUAACGUACCCUCUAGCCCUCUACGCGUACGGGUGUUGGGAGACAUAGCCCGGAGAUGGAUUCUGAGACACGAAUCCAGACCCUACGGGGUGCAGCAGGCGCGAAAACUUGGCAAUGCGAGAAAUCGUGACCAGGGAACUCCAAGUGCAUCGGGUAAGACCGGUGCUUUUCUUGACUCUAAAUAGGUCUUGGAAUAAGGGGUGGGUAAGGACGGUGCCAGCCGCCGCGGUAAUACCGGCGCCUCAAGUGGUAGUCGCUUUUAUUGGGCCUAAAACGUCCGUAGCCGGUCUGAUACAUUCGUGGGUAAAUCAACCAGCUCAACUGGUUGAAUUCUGCGAGGACGGUCAGACUUGGGACCGGGAGAGGUGUGGGGUACGCUCAGGGUAGGGGUAAAAUCCUGUCAUCCUGAGCGGACCACCUGUUGCGAAGGCGCCACACUAGAACGGAUCCGACGGUCAGGGACGAAGCCUAGGGGCACGAACCGGAUUAGAUACCCGGGUAGUCCUAGGUGUAAACGCUGUGAACUUGGUGUCGGGGAUCCGUCAUGGGUCCCCGGUGCCGGAGUGAAGAUGUUAAGUUCACUGCCUGGGGAGUACGGUCGCAAGGCUGAAACUUAAAGGAAUUGGCGGGGGAGCACUGCAACGGGAGGAGCGUGCGGUUUAAUUGGAUCAACGCCGGA